rnacentral:rRNA from 1 species
AUUGAACGCUGGCGGCAUGCCUUACACAUGCAAGUCGAACGGUAACAGGUCUUCGGAUGCUGACGAGUGGCGAACGGGUGAGUAAUACAUCGGAACGUGCCCGACCGUGGGGGAUAACGAAGCGAAAGCUUUGCUAAUACCGCAUACGAUCUACGGAUGAAAGCAGGGGACCGCAAGGCCUUGCGCGAACGGAGCGGCCGAUGGCCGAUUAGGUAGUUGGUGGGAUAAAAGCUUACCAAGCCGACGAUCUGUAGCUGGUCUGAGAGGACGACCCGCCACACUGGGACUGAGACACGGCCCAGACUCCUACGGGAGGCAGCAGUGGGGAAUUUUGGACAAUGGGCGAAAGCCUGAUCCAGCCAUGCCGCGUGCAGGAUGAAGGCCUUCGGGUUGUAAACUGCUUUUGUACGGAACGAAAAGACUCUGGUUAAUACCUGGGGUCCAUGACGGUUCCGUAAGAAUAAGCACCGGCUAACUACGUGCCAGCCGCCGCGGUAAGAC